rnacentral:snRNA from 1 species
GUGCUCACUUUGGCAGCACAUAUAUUAAAAUUGUAACAAUACAGAGAAGAUUAGCAUGGUCCCCACACAAGGAUGACACAGAAAUUAGUGACACAUUCCAUAUUUUU